AACGAACGCUGGCGGCAUGCCUAACACAUGCAAGUCGAACGAAGUCUUCGGACUUAGUGGCGCACGGGUGCGUAACGCGUGGGAAUCUGCCCUUGGUGCGGAAUAACUUCUCGAAAGGGAUGCUAAUACCGCAUAAUGUCGUAAGACCAAAGAUUUAUCGCCCAAGGAUGAGCCCACGUAAGAUUAGCUAGUUGGUGGGGUAAAAGCCUACCAAGGCGACGAUCUUUAGCUGGUCUGAGAGGAUGAUCAGCCACACUGGGACUGAGACACGGCCCAGACUCCUACGGGAGGCAGCAGUGGGGAAUAUUGGACAAUGGGCGAAAGCCUGAUCCAGCAAUGCCGCGUGAGUGAUGAAGGCCCUAGGGUUGUAAAGCUCUUUUACCAGGGAUGAUAAUGACAGUACCUGGAGAAUAAGCUCCGGCUAACUCCGUGCCAGCAGCCGCGGUAAU
rnacentral:rRNA from 1 species